GAACGCUGGCGGCAGGCUUAACACAUGCAAGUCGAACGACAUAGUGGCAGACGGGUGAGUAACGCGUGGGAACCUACCUUUAGGUACGGAACAACAGUUGGAAACGACUGCUAAUACCGUAUGUGCCCUAUGGGGGAAAGAUUUAUCGCCUAAGGAUGGGCCCGCGUUGGAUUAGCUAGUUGGUGGGGUAAAGGCCUACCAAGGCGACGAUCUCUAGCUGGUCUGAGAGGAUGAUCAGCCACACUGGAACUGAGACACGGUCCAGACUCCUACGGGAGGCAGCAGUGGGGAAUAUUGCGCAAUGGGGGAAACCCUGACGCAGCAACGCCGCGUGAGUGAGGAAGGCCCUCGGGUCGUAAAGCUCUGUCAGAAGGGAAGAAAGUGCAUUGGUCUAAUAGGCCAUUGUAUUGACGGUACCUUCAAAGGAAGCACCGGCUAACUUCGUGCCAGCAGCCGCGGUAAUACGAAGGGUGCAAGCGUUAUUCGGAUUUACUGGGCGUAAAGCGCGCGCAGGCGGAUUGGUAAGUCAGAUGUGAAAUCUCGGGGCUCAACCCCGAAACUGCGUCUGAAACUAUCAAUCUAGAGUUAUGGAGGGGGAAGUGGAAUUUCGCAUGUAGGGGUAAAAUCCGUAGAGAUGCGAAGGAACACCAGAGGCGAAGGCGACUUCCUGGCCAUUAACUGACGCUGAGGCGCGAAAGCGUGGGGAGCAAACAGGAUUAGAUACCCU
rnacentral:rRNA from 18 species